UAUACAGAUGUAGGAUCUUAAUUUGAGCCAGUUGUCACGCCCUGGUCGAGGUAUUUUGUGUUUAUCUUCAUUUAUUUGGUCAGGCCAGGGUGUGGCAUGGGGUUUUUGUAUGUGGUGUGUUGGUAUUGGGAUUGUAGCUUAGUGGGGUGUUCUAGUUAAGUCUAUGGCUGUCUGAAGUGGUUCUCAAUCAGAGGCAGGUGUUUAUCGUUGUCUCUGAUUGGGAACCAUAUUUAGGCAGCCAUAUUCUUUGUGUGUUUUGUGGGUGAUUGUCCUUAGUAUCCUUGUUCCUGUCGCUGUGUUAGUUUACACAAGUAUAGGCUGUUUCGGUUUUUGUUAUGUUCUUUGUUUUGUAGUGUUUGUAAUUGAUUCGUGUUUUACGUUUGUUUAUUAAACAUGGAUCGCAAUCUACACGCUGCAUUUUGGUCCGACUCUCCUUCACCACAAGAGAACCGUUACACCAGUUCGUUACAGCAGGAAAAUAAUCCUGCAGCAACAGGAAAUCACAGUUUUCCUGCAACAGGGUGAUCAAAUGAAGAUCUUUUUUAAUGUUUGUUGUGCUACUUCUAGUCGGUCGCACUGCAGUUGUGUUGUGCUCCAGAGAGUCUCCCUCCUUCCUGCCAUGGCCAGGCACAGUGCAUGGAGCCCAGGGAUGUUGUGCUCAGUGCAGGGGGAUCGGGGUCACCCCUGUU